rnacentral:rRNA from 1 species
GGGAUGAGCCCAGCGCCGAAUCCCCCGCCAUCGGCGGGGGAAAUGUGGCGUUCGGGAGUGAGCGUACCGGGCGCGUGCUGGACGUCAAGUCCUCCUGACCGGGGCCUGUCCAUAGCGGGUGCGAGACCCGUAGCCGUCCAGUGCGACCCGGAUGCUAUCUCCUCGGAGUCGGGUUGCUUGGGAGUGCAGCCCCAAUCGGGUGGUAAACUCCACCUAAGGCUAAAUACCGCCGUGAGACCGAUAGCAAACAAGUACCGUGAGGGAAAGUUGCAAAGAACUUUGAAGAGAGAGUUCAAGAGUACGUGAAACUGCUCAGAGGCAAACGGGUGGGCCCUCGAAAUCCUGUGGCGAGAGCAUUCAGUCCGGGGUCGAAAACGCGCGGUUCCGGAUAUCGAGGAAGGUUUCCCGGGAUCGGGGCCGUCCGGCCGCGCGCCUCUUUCGGCACCGGACGCAUUUGGCUCUCGUCCCGAAGGACGCUGCAGCGGGCGGUCGAGMAAAGACGACCUGAAAGUCGGGGACUGGCAGGUGGUCGGUGGUUCGCCUCGUGCGAGUCGCCGGUUGUUAGCCCCCCCGACAGUGGUUCGUACCGCCGCCUAGGUUGCGCAUGGCUCCACCAGGGGUCGCAUCCGCCUCCUCCAAAAGGAUGCGGGAGAGAUCGUCGCUGGCGCUGGCCGUCGCCCCGUCGCACUCCGCCUGAGUGUUCGAGAGAGCGGUCGGCACCGCAGGCUUCGACGAGUCCCGCCGGAGGUCGGAGGCUCGCAGCGAGUAGGUCGGUCACCCACCCGACCCGUCUUGAAACACGGACCAAGGAGUCUAACAUGUGCGCGAGUCAGUGGGUCUUGAACAGGCCCAGGGGCGCAACGAAAGCGAAGGCAGAGCGUCUCGCUUGCCGAGUCGGGAUCCCCCUUCCCGUGAAAAAGGUGGGGGCGCACCGACGACCCGUCCCGUUCGGCUCGCCGAUGGGACGGAGAUUGAGCGCACACGUUGGGACCCGAAAGAUGGUGAAC